rnacentral:rRNA from 1 species
CCUACGGGGUGCAGCAGUGGGGAAUAUUGGGCAAUGGGCGCAAGCCUGACCCAGCAACGCCGCGUGAAGGAAGAAGGCUUUCGGGUUGUAAACUUCUUUUCUGAGGGACGAAGAAAGUGACGGUACCUCAGGAAUAAGCCACGGCUAACUACGUGCCAGCAGCCGCGGUAAUACGUAGGUGGCAAGCGUUAUCCGGAUUUAUUGGGUGUAAAGGGCGUGUAGGCGGGAAAGCAAGUCAGAUGUGAAAACUCAGGGCUCAACCCUGAGCCUGCAUUUGAAACUGUUUUUCUUGAGUGCUGGAGAGGCAAUCGGAAUUCCGUGUGUAGCGGUGAAAUGCGUAGAUAUACGGAGGAACACCAGUGGCGAAGGCGGAUUGCUGGACAGUAACUGACGCUGAGGCACGAAAGCGUGGGUAUCGAACAGGAUUAGAUACCCCAGUAGUC